rnacentral:misc_RNA from 1 species
AAGUCGUAACAAGGUUUCCGUAGGUGAACCUGCGGAAGGAUCAUUAACACUAAUGAAAUCCAAAACCUUUUGGAUCAACCCAAACCUUAGCGAACCGUUCGUACAUUUUCCUUUGCCCCAAUUUUACCAAACGCAAAAAACUCUGAUGUAACGUGUCUGAUUCUUAUUCUCGUUUCGGUUGUAAUGACCAGCGGGAAUCAAAAUCUAACGCAAUACAACUCUUAACAACGGAUAUCUUGGCUCUC